GGCAGGGAUCCAGGCUGCAAUGUGAAUGGUGCCUGGAGUCCUGCAGUAAAGGCAGCCAGACAGAAGGUGCAUGGAAGCAGUGGGGGAGGUGUUUCGAGGGACCAUGGGAGACUUCACUUUCAUAUCAUUUGCCGUUUCGGCAAACAAGAAUUGCCCAGCAAACGUUGGUUGAGUAACAAUGGAGUAUUUGGGACUUUAAAAUAUCUCUGUCGUUCUUGUUUACUCUUCAGAGUAGCAGAAGCUAUUGAGGCCCGUCUCUAAUAACACUUAGCAGCCCUGUCUUCAGACCUGGGAGGCAUCAUAAGCUCACAUUUCAGUGACAGGUGCAUGUUAGUCUGUAGGGCUGAGCCCCUGUUGUCUGGCAUCGCAGAUGUCUUUGAGCAGUAGGGGAUGGUAGUGACCAUCCAAUUCAAUAGCCUCACCCUGUGAAGGAGGAACUGAGGGCCAGAGGAAGAAAUGACUUCAGAAUCACACAGGAAGAUACUUUUAGAGCCUGGACUAGGAGAUAGGUUGCCUAGCUUGAAUUCAGUCAUAUUUCCACAAAAUAUCUAAAGAAUUGCAAUUGAGUACCAUUUAUUUGUCCUUCCCAGAAGGGGGCAUUGUGCCUGCAACAGUUUAAGUACUUAACUCCAGCUUCUCUGAUGGCAAUCCUGGAAAUCCCAGUGACCUGACACAAUAAAGGUUUAUAUCUUAUCCUCAUCAUGACCCAGUAGGGUGACACAGGGGUGUGGGGGAUUCCAGCUUGUGGCAGAAAGAAUGGAGAAAACACAUUCACUCUUAGCUUCCUUAUCUGGGGAGUGAUGCACAUCCCAUUGGUGAGAACAAUUGCAGAUUGCAUCUAAAUGCAAAGGGGCUGGAAAAUGCAGUUCAGCUGUGUGUCCAGGCAGAUAAAAUGGGUUUAGUGAGCAUCCGACUAGCAUAUGCCACAGUUAUAAUAAGUCAAUGUCAUAGCUGUUAUCCCUGGUUCUAGCAACACAAUGGCAGUCAAUUAAGUAGUUGUCUGGUCUUUACCCUUG
rnacentral:lncRNA from 1 species